rnacentral:rRNA from 1 species
UACGGAGGAUGCAAGCGUUAUCCGGAAUGAUUGGGCGUAAAGCGUCCGCAGGUGGCUGUGUAAGUCUGCUGUCAAAGAGCGAAGCUCAACUUCGUAAAGGCAGUGGAAACUACACGGCUAGAGUGCGUUCGGGGCAGAGGGAAUUCCUGGUGUAGCGGUGAAAUGCGUAGAUAUCGAGAGGAACACCUGCGGCGAAGGCGGGUUGCUGGGCUGAUACUGACGCUGAGGCGCGAAAGCCAGGGGAGCGAACGGG